CCUAAUUUUCAUAAUACAAUGUGAUAGCUUUUUUCCAUAUUAGGAAUGACUUUAAGAUCUGUAAGGAACUUCUGAAGCCAUAUAUCGCUUCUUUUGUUGCCUCAAAAGUUGUCACAUAUUUGACCUCCAUAGUAGAGUCAACAAUGCAACUCUACUUGAUACUUCUCCACAAUAUAGACUCAUUGCCUGGGACAAAGACACAGUUCAAUGUUAAUUUUCUUGAAUUCCAACAUGUUUGAAAGUCAAAAUCUAUAUAACUAAUAGGAGUAAGAUCUCCCAUGGAAUACACAAGCUUAUAGUCCAUGGUUCUACGUAAAUACUUGAGUAUAUAGUUAAAUUCUUGCCAGUGUGUACGAUUGGGAUUCGUCUAAUAUCGACUCACCAAUCCUAUUGCGAAACAGAUAUUUUGUAACACCCCCUAACCCCAAGUAAAUAACAGACAUAUCAUACUUUAAUCAUUAAGUCCAUUAUUUGGACUCUCAAGGCCCAAAUUUCGUUUCAAAAGCGGAUCAGGUUAUUAUCAUUUCGUACUUGUAUCAAAUAUGUCAUAUUAGUUCCAUUUCAUGUUUAUAACCAAUUUAAACAUCAUUCUAUCACAAAACUCUUAUACUUAACCUAUACAUCACCUAAGUACUUGCCACAUUAUCAAAACAAAGAUACAUCACUAAAAUUUAUCUGAGGUCGGGAUUCUUUUGGAUGCUGGACCGGACACUAGCUUUCUACUAACUUGCGCACGGAAACAACCGUACGCUGAGUAUAGGUAUACUCAGUGGUAUUACCAUAAUUCAAAUUUAUAACAUUAAUCAAUAAAUUAUAUACAUUCAAUUUAUGCCUACAAUUAUUCAUUAAUUAUCUCAUACUUUAAAUCAACUUGAUCAUUAAUAUCAAUAAGCAAUAUUUCACUAUCUCAAUUUCAUUGGAUUUCCACAUCUCAUUCCAAUAGUUCAUUUCAAUUCAUAUACAAUUCAUUCAAUUUAUCACUAUAUUCAAUAUCAACUCUAUUGCAAUUUGUACUCAUUAAUAUCAUAUAACAAAAAUUUACUCUUAAUCAAAUCAUGAACUUUAGGUUCAUAUAUUCAAAUAUCAUAUCUCGAUUUCAAAUUCACAUAUCAAUUCACAAUUUCACUUUCUCAUUUCUUUCCAUAGUCCAAUCAAUCACACUUAUUCAAAAUUUCUCAUUUCAAUUAUUUACCCCUAUUAACUUGACUCGGACCUUGGCGGAAACACGGAUCCAACCAAACACACUAGAAUGACACCUAGUGCCUCAUCGGAUAGUUCGAAGCAAUAAAGUGACACCCAGUGUCUCAUUGACAGAGCCGAAGAAAGUUGGUACCUAGUACCUCAUCGAAACUAUCCGAAGAAAUAUAGUGACACCCAGUGUCUCAUCGACUCGAGGUCGAAGUAUCCCUGAACACUUCCAAUCCUAUGGCAUGCCAACUAUAUCCGACUCAGCCCGACUAGUUAAUAAGGUAUUCAAAUCAUUUUUUUUCUAUUUCAAAUUCACUUUCGAUUCAAUCACAAUUCAUUUCAAAUUCACUUUUCACUUUCUAAUCAAUAUACAAUUCAAUAUCAAUACAUUUUUCCACUUUCCAAUCAAUGUACCAUGAAAUGCUCAUAUAUAUUCAUACUUCAUUUCAAUUUCAUUCAAUUCACAAUUUCUCAUGUUCACAAUUCAAAUCAAUUUCUCAAUCCAAUAUGCAUUUCAAUACCACAUUAAUUCUUUUAAUUCAAAUCAUAUCACUAGUAAUUUCCAUUCAAUUCACAUACAAUUCAAUAUCAUUUAAUUCAAUAUCGAUAUUCACCUUAUUUUUAUUUACUAAACAUAUUAUUCAAAAAUUCAACAAUUGCUAUUAAUAAAUUCAAUUCCAAUACGUAUUUAUCAUUCAAUUCAAUCGUGAUACUUACCUCAAUUUGCUUAUCAUGUAUAUUAAUUUAAAAUUUAACAAUUAAUAAGUAAAUUCGAAUUAUGGUAAUACUAACCGAAAUUUCUCUCGAGUCACUCAUUGUCCACCUUCUCCUUUCCUUUCUUGGUCAAUGACUCUUGCACGACAUUAACUACGUAAUUAAACAAUUAAAAAUCAUUAAUACACAAUUUCAUCUAAUUAUUUCCAUUUAUACCUAAACUUUACCUAAAUUCUAAUUUAAUCCCUUAUCAAUACUAAUUUUAUUUUCCCAAUUUAACUCCAUAUUCUCUCUCUUAAUUCUUACUAUAAAUUCAUUUUAACCCUUCAAUUUCACCAUAAAUUCCUAAUUUCGAGAUUCUUUAAAUUUAGUCCCUACUAUUCAAAACUUACACUUUAUAUUACAAUUAAAUCCUUUACUAACUUCUAACUUGAAAUUAAAUCAAUUUAACCCCUAAUUCAUCGUCUUUCCCAACAUGAACCAUGUCUAAAAAAAAUCUAAUAUCUUACAAAAUUUCAACAUAAAUCCAAAAAUACUUUGUUCUAGGAUUCCAAAAACAUCAAAAUUACAAGAAAAGGGAUUAAACUAACUUACCAAAUUAACUUUGAACCUUGAAACCCAAAUUUUCCUUUUUCUUUUUCUUUCUUUCUUUCUCCCCUGUUUCGUCCAUUGCUAUUAUUUCUUUUCUUUUAGUUUCUGUUUCUUUCUU
rnacentral:lncRNA from 1 species